ensembl:misc_RNA Metazoa_SRP Metazoan signal recognition particle RNA
GCUGGGCGUGGUGGCGGGUGCCUGUAAUCCCAGCUACUCAGGAGGCUGAGGCAGGAGAAUCGCUUGAACCUGGGAGGCAGAGGUUGCAGUGAGCCGAGAUCAUGCCACUGCACUUCAGCCUGGGCAACAGAGCGAGACUCUGUCUCAA